CCUACGGGUGGCAGCAGUGGGGAAUAUUGGGCAAUGGGCGCAAGCCUGACCCAGCAACGCCGCGUGAAGGAAGAAGGCUCUCGGGUUGUAAACUUCUUUUUUGAGGGACGGAGAAAGUGACGGUACCUCCUGAAUAAGCCACGGCUAACUACGUGCCAGCAGCCGCGGUAAUACGUAGGUGGCAAGCGUUAUCCGGAUUUAUUGGGGGUAAAGGGCGUGUAGGCGGGAAAGCAAGUCAGAGGUGAAAUCGCAGGGCUCAACCCUGGGACUGCAUUUGAAACUGUUCUUCUUGAGUGGUGGAGAGGCAAGCGGAAUGCCGUGUGUAGCGGUGAAAUGCGUAGAUAUACGGAGGAACACCAGUGGCGAAGGCAGAUUGCUGGACAGUAACUGACGCUGAGGCGCGAAAGCGUGGGGAGCAAACAGGAUUAGAUACCCGAGUAGUC
rnacentral:rRNA from 1 species